GUGUGGUAUGAAAGGAAAGAAGGUUAGCACUCCCCUUGACAAGGAUGGAAGAGAUCCCAUGCCUGACAAUGCAUAUACAGUGGAGGCAUUGCCACCUACUUUGUGGCAUCUAACCAUUGUCU
rnacentral:ncRNA from 1 species